rnacentral:lncRNA from 1 species
ACAAGCUGUUGAAUCUAGGGAACACCUAUUCCUGGAUUGCACUUAUGCAACUCAACUUAGAACUCACAUGUUGCAAUGGAUUGGAGUUAACCAACCUACUGGCAAAACUGGCUCCAGUUUGUCCAGUGGUUCAUUGAGAAAUCUAAUGGCAAAUCCCCUCGAGCUCACAUAAUCAAAAUGACAAUGACAGAGAUGUUUUAUGUCGUAUGGCUGG